rnacentral:lncRNA from 1 species
GGGUGUGAAGGUUCGAUCUAGAAAUAAGGCCACUUCUGUGACAGAGAACGCUCUGAACAUAAUGCUGUGGGAUCUGGAAAACAACCGUGAUCAUCCGUGGGUAAGCAGUUCAAAGCCUUCCUCAAGGAGCAUUUUUAAAGAGUUCGCAGAAAUAAGUGAUUUUACCUUUUAGUUUUUUUGUGCAUAGAUUUUACAUUUUAGUUGAUUUAUUAUAAUAACAUUAAUCUUUCUAACCUUUUAAUAAUUGCCUAUUUUUUUACUUUUUUUUUACAGAUUCCAAAACUCAGUUAGUGAUGGCUUUGCUAUUAUUUUGGUAAUUGAAUAGAAUGUUAACAUAUGUAUUUGCUUAAACUGUUUUCCAUGUCAUGACAACUAUAAACUUUUUCAUCAUUUCAUCGGAUGCGGAUUUGAGACAUACUUCACGAAGCUCAACCUUAAAGGUCACAAUACGUUUAUGAUUUAUGAUAAGAACAACAUUAAUGAAGGAUACUUCCAAUCGGUAUCAGCGUCUUGCAGAUGCAUAUUCAAGGAAUUUGCAGCCGUAAGAAUUUUAC